rnacentral:lncRNA from 10 species
AAGAUGUUCACAAGCAUGGACCCUCCUCCGGUUGAACUUAUCCGCGUUCCAGCCUUCCUGGACCUGUUCAUGCAGUCACUCUUUAAACCAGGGGCUCGGAUCAACCAGGACCACAAGCACAAAUACAUCCACAUCUUGGCGUACGCAGCAAGCGUGGUUGAGACCUGGAAGAAGGUACCAUCGGUUCUGGGAAUUUGUGGAUUUUUUAGGAGACAAAUAUCCUCCUCUGCUUUGAUAUUAUUUUGGAAUUUUGGCUGCAAGAAAUCUUGACCCUCCCUAGUAUCAGGCAUGUGUUUUCUUGUGUUUCUGCGUAGAGAAAGCACUAAACGUCUCCAGAAAAUGUGCGUAAUGUCUCCAAUGCUCUGCAAACCGUAAAUUGAAAUGUGACUAAAGAAAUGAAACUGAUUUCCGUAAGACAUGGACAAACACUAGUCUCAUUGCUUUUCAGUUUCUGUACACUGUGUGACUGUGAAGUUUGACAGCUGAAUUGACUCCCAACUUAAGUAGAAAUAGGGAAAGUGCUUUGCAAGAAGUGGCCGACACCAGAACACCCCGACAGCAGGGAUAUCUGCCCUGUCAGGCUCACCAGCUUGUGUGUGUGUUUUCAGAACAAGCGAGUGAGCAUCAAUAAAGAUGAGCUGAAGUCAACG